GUCAUAUCACGUUAAAUUAGCAGCACUCGUACGAUCACCGAAGUUAAGCAACGUCGAGCCUGGUCAGUACCUAGAUGUGUGACUGCUUGGGAAUACUAGGUUCUGUA